GUCUGAACAGCCUCCCUUAUAUGGUGGUUGUGGGGCUCCAGCAAAAUAAUGUGGUGAGCAAAGGACAUUGGGAAGUACAAUAAAAUUCUAUUAUCGUGGAGCAGCCUCCAUGCCCUUUUUCCCUCCAAAGGGCUUAAACAUCUUGUCACAGGAUGGAAACUCGUCUCUGCCCUGGAGUUGGGGGCUCAAUACCAAGGAGUUGGGAGCAAACCUGUCGGUGAAAAUACAUCUUGGGCAUUUGCCGUGUCAGUGCAUGUUCAGUUGUUUAGUCACUGCUUCCUCUUUGCGGCCCCAUGAACUGUAGCCCACCAGACUCCUCUGCCCACAGAAUUUUCCAGGCAAGAAUACUGGAGUGGGCUGCCAUUUCUUACUCCAGUGGAUCUUCCCGACCCAGGGAUCGAACCCACCUCCCUUGUGUCUGCUGCAUUGGCAGGUGAGUUCUUUACCACUAGCGCCAUUGUAUCAGUACACGCAAUACAUACAUCUACCCAUGGUCUUGUUAAGACUAUACAGAGUUCUUGCCUGGAGAAUCCCAGGGACGGGGGAGCCUGGUGGGCUGCAGUCUAUGCGGUCGCACAGAGGUGGACACGACUGAUGCGACUUAGCAGCAGCAGCAGCAUACAGUAUUCUAGAGUAUGGAAUUUUUUAAACUAGUGCCUUAUGAACAGGCUUCCCAGGUGGCACUAGUGGUAAAGAAUCCACCUACAAAUGUAACAGACAUAAGACAUGAAGGUUCGAUCCUUGGGUCAGGUAGAUCCCCUGGAGGAGAGCAUGGCAACCCACUCAAGGCAUUCUUGCCUGGAGAAUCUCAAGGACAGAGGAGCCUGCUGGGCCCCAGUCCAUAGGGCUGCAAACAGCUGGACACUACUGAAUGACCUAGCAUUUAUUCACAGGCAUUUAGACUUGCCGCACUGACUUGAUGCACAUGAGUUUGAGUGAACUCCAGGAGUUGGUGAUGGACAGGGAGGCCUGGCGUGCUGCGAUUCAUGGGGUCACAAAGAGUCGGACACGACUGAGCGACUGAACUGAACUGAGACUGUUUCCAAUAUUUUGUUCUUAAGAACAAUGUUGCAGUGAACAUCCUUAUAUGUACUCUUGUAUUUUUGUUCAAGUAUGUAGAAAGAGAAUUGCUAGGAAAAAGAAAAUUGAAAAUAUAUGAUCCAAUUGUCCCACUAGCAGUGAAGCAAAUAGUUUCUCCCACAUUCUCAAC
ensembl:lncRNA